rnacentral:lncRNA from 1 species
GUUCCAAUAAAGCUUUAUUUAUAAAAACAAGUGACUGAACAGACUUGACACACAGGUUGUACUUUGCCAAUUUCUGUUCUAGAAGAUUGACUCACAUCAACAAUAUUUCCAAGAGUCAUUAAUCAGCCACAGAUAGGAUUUACAUAUAAACAGGACAAGUUAUCUGCACAGAACAUCCUAUCAGAAAUGAGCCACUAAUGUCACCAAACUACAAAUCAGAAGCUUGCUUAGUAAUCAAUAGGUCAGGCAAAUUAAAUUGUUUUCUUGAUUUAUGUUCUCCCAAAAUUGACCCUGAGAAAAUGGUUUAAAUUCAAGUAUCUAUUUGGCAGAUAAUUCCUGGAAAUAUUAGUCAGGAAGUAAAGAAGUAAAACAGGGAAAGGAAGGAAGCCAGUAAAAUUUGCCUUGAUGAGCAAGAUCAGUAAGGGCAGCUGGAGCACAAUCUCCCUGGGAGAACAUGCCUCAGAUGUAUCCCACGCAUGAGGCAAGGGAACUGGGAUAUUUAUCCAGUAACUCCAUCAGUCAUUGGUUAAGGAUUGCUUCUGGGAGGGUGGAGGGCAGAGAGGGCUCCAGGCAGAGUGGCAGCUGGAAGUUGGGCAGCAUGUAUGGACAUGGUAAAUGUCAAGGCGAUAGGGGUGGGGCACCAACAGCAUCUGCUAUACCUGUUUUCUCCCAAAUGUUAUUUAUAAUUAGGUAAUAUGAAUUAAUCAGUAAAUCUUCUAUUAAGGGAAUUUUUCUGAAUAGUGGAACUAGUCCUGUAAAAACCAACCAACCUUCCUCUCCAUGGUGUUGGAUAGGUACUAACACGUUUUAAACAGCUAACCUCUUUUCUGUGCACUGUGCUGCCAAGUUUAUUGUUAGAGGAGAACAAAGGCUGGCCUAUGGAAAAGGAGAAAGUAGGCUAGCAGGGGAAGAAGAAAAGUGGGCAAUAAGGCAAGGGAACAAGAACCUGGGAGAAACAGAAGCAGUAGGGGUUGGACAGAAGUAGGGUGAGAAUCAUUUCAGCCUAUGGGAAAGGGAAGAGAUAGAAACAGACCUUUUCUAAUUCCUAAAAUCUAUUUUUUCCUAUUUACUAUUAGUAAUAACUAGUGGCAUAAUUACUAUAAUAAUAAGUGGUGGUGAUGGGAAGAUUUGGGGGUAUUCAUUUUAUGUAUCCAGAGUUAGGGCUUUUGGCUCCUCUCUACCGCUCUCACCAGAGACCGAGUUUUUCUUUUCUUUUGGUUUGGCUGCUUGGGUUUAUAUUUCCUCCCAGAAGGACUGACUGCUUCUGGCCACCUGUAACCUACUCCAGGAGGACCCAAGAUAAAUUACACGGUCACAGCCGAACGUAAGGACAAGAAGGAUCACAACUAUCUUCUUUGUCAGGUCAUGUGGACCCUUAGGGGUUGACUAACCAGGCAGAGUUACUCUAGGAGCAGCUAUGGAAAACUAGAGUGGGUAUGCACUCCCUGGGUCCACACCUCAGUUUUGGAACACAACUCCAUAAAAGAAGGAACUUCAUAAUGCUGGCAUAUUCAGGGCAAAAUAAUUCUUCCUUAAAGCCAAGCAACAGCAGUAUAAGCCUAGCAGUUGAGAGUGUAGGUGUCAGCAUCAUGCAGACCUGAGGUAGACUACUGGCUCAGUUACUUAGCUCCGCUGCAUGUAUUCAUCCAGACAUAAAUGUCAAUACCUCGUUGAGUAUCCUGUGAAGAAUCCACUCUCACAAAGCAUUUGAGGGUAAGGUAGACUUUCUUAAGAUUCGACAGUGGCGAUUGAGAAAGAAUUUACAUCAUGCUACCCAAAGCAAUCAACUUUAAAAUCUGACAUUUGUAUCCUCCCAAGUCCAUUCUUAGCCUUCCUGAUACAAUGAUUUUCUCUCUUUCCUUCCUCCAUACAAUGCUGGGUGUCAUUGGCUCCAUUCUCCUCAUUCUCACCCCUCCUUAUUUUGUCUUCCACCUUGCUACGCAGCUGAGCCCCCUCCAGCUCUCCAGCUCAGCAGCAUAAAGGGUUCUCCAGUUAACAGGAUCUCCUUAGAAGG